rnacentral:rRNA from 1 species
GACGAACGCCGGCGGCGUGCUUAACACAUGCAAGUCGAACGGAAAGGCCCUGCUUUUGUGGGGUGCUCGAGUGGCGAACGGGUGAGUAACACGUGAGUAACCUGCCCUUGACUUUGGGAUAACUUCAGGAAACUGGGGCUAAUACCGGAUAGGAGCUCCUGCUGCAUGGUGGGGGUUGGAAAGUUUCGGCGGUUGGGGAUGGACUCGCGGCUUAUCAGCUUGUUGGUGGGGUAGUGGCUUACCAAGGCUUUGACGGGUAGCCGGCCUGAGAGGGUGACCGGCCACAUUGGGACUGAGAUACGGCCCAGACUCCUACGGGAGGCAGCAGUGGGGAAUAUUGCACAAUGGGCGGAAGCCUGAUGCAGCAACGCCGCGUGCGGGAUGACGGCCUUCGGGUUGUAAACCGCUUUCGCCUGUGACGAAGCGUGAGUGACGGUAAUGGGUAAAGAAGCACCGGCUAACUACGUGCCAGCAGCCGCGGUGAUACGUAGGGUGCGAGCGUUGUCCGGAUUUAUUGGGCGUAAAGGGCUCGUAGGUGGUUGAUCGCGUCGGAAGUGUAAUCUUGGGGCUUAACCCUGAGCGUGCUUUCGAUACGGGUUGACUUGAGGAAGGUAGGGGAGAAUGGAAUUCCUGGUGGAGCGGUGGAAUGCGCAGAUAUCAGGAGGAACACCAGUGGCGAAGGCGGUUCUCUGGGCCUUUCCUGACGCUGAGGAGCGAAAGCGUGGGGAGCGAACAGGCUUAGAUACCCUGGUAGUCCACGCUGUAAACGGUGGGUACUAGGUGUGGGGUCCAUUCCACGGGUUCCGUGCCGUAGCUAACGCUUUAAGUACCCCGCCUGGGGAGUACGGCCGCAAGGCUAAAACUCAAAGGAAUUGACGGGGCCCCGCACAAGCGGCGGAGCAUGCGGAUUAAUUCGAUGCAACGCGUAGAACCUUACCUGGGUUUGACAUGGAUCGGGAGUGCUCAGAGAUGGGUGUGCCUCUUUUGGGGUCGGUUCACAGGUGGUGCAUGCCUGUCGUCAGCUCGUGUCGUGAGAUGUUGGGUUAAGUCCCGCAACGAGCGCAACCCUUGUUCACUGUUGCCAGCACGUUAUGGUGGGGACUCAGUGGAGACCGCCGGGGUCAACUCGGAGGAAGGUGGGGAUGACGUCAAGUCCUCAUGCCCCUCAUGUCCAGGGCUUCACGCAUGCUACAAUGGCUGGUACAGAGAGUGGCGAGCCUGUGAGGGUGAGCGAAUCUCGGAAAGCCGGUCUCAGUUCGGAUUGGGGUCUGCAACUCGACCUCAUGAAGUCGGAGUCGCUAGUAAUCGCAGAUCAGCAACGCUGCGGUGAAUACGUUCCCGGGGCU